GACGAACGCUGGCGGCGUGCUUAACACAUGCAAGUCGAGCGAUGAACCUUUCAUGAAUUUUUCGGAAUGAUUGGAAGAGGAUUAGCGGCGGACGGGUGAGUAACGCGUGAGCAACCUGCCUUAAACAACGGGAUAGCCUCGGGAAACCGGGAUUAAUACCGUAUGAGACCCCGCCUUCGCAUGAAGAAGAGGUUAAAGAUUUAUCGGUUUAAGAUGGGCUCGCGUCUGAUUAGCUAGUUGGUGAGAUAAAAGCCCACCAAGGCAACGAUCAGUAACCGGCUUGAGAGAGUGAACGGUCACAGUGGAACUGAGACACGGUCCAAACUCCUACGGGAGGCAGCAGUGGGGAAUAUUUCACAAUGGGGGAAACCCUGAUGCAGCGACGCCGCGUGAGCGAUGAAGGAAUUCGUUUCGUAAAGCUCUGUCCAAGGGGAAGAUAAUGACAGUACCCUUGGAGGAAGCCCCGGCUAAAUACGUGCCAGCCGCCGCGGUAAGAC
rnacentral:rRNA from 1 species